rnacentral:rRNA from 1 species
AACGAACGCUGGCGGCGGGCCUAACACAUGCAAGUCGAACGCUGUAGCAAUACAGAGUGGCAGACGGGUGAGUAACGCGUGGGAACGUGCCUUUCGGUUCGGAAUAACUCAGGGAAACUUGAGCUAAUACCGGAUACGCCCUUCGGGGGAAAGAUUUAUUGCCGAAAGAUCGGCCCGCGUCCGAUUAGCUAGUUGGUGUGGUAAUGGCGCACCAAGGCGACGAUCGGUAGCUGGUCUGAGAGGAUGAUCAGCCACACUGGGACUGAGACACGGCCCAGACUCCUACGGGAGGCAGCAGUGGGGAAUAUUGGACAAUAGGCGCAAGCAUGAUCCAGCCAGGCCGCGUGAGUGAUGAAGGCCCUAGGGUUGUAAAGCUCUUUCGCCAGGGACGAUAAUGACGGUACCUGGAUAAGAAGCCCCGGCUAACUUCGUGCCAGCCGCCGCAGUAA